CCGGGAGCUGGGCUGAGUGGUCACUCCAGAGCUCUGGAGUCUGUGGCGGGGAGCCCUGGAAACUGACAGCGGAGGGAAAGGUACCAGCCCCUGCGAAAUCCCCUCGAGCCCCCUGCCGCCGGGCCCCCGGGGGGCACAGCUGGGCCCUGGGCAGGCCUGAGACCCGCGCAACCCGCCCGUUCCUCCCAAGCAGCCCGGCUGGUUCGGUGCCACCCUGGGGGGCUGUUCGCCAGCGCGGCGUCGAGGGUCAAGGCGGGGAACCAGAGGGAACCGCGUCUCCUUUGGGGCCUGCGGAGAGCAGGGUCCGUCCGUCCCGUCUCCAGGGACUUUCGCUCAGGUCACUUCACCCGCUUCUUUCUCUGCCCCCGGGACCCGCCCAGCCCAGACUGGGACCCGCGGGUGCCGCCGUCCCGACGCUGUCCCCCGAUUUCACAGGGAGAGUCCCGAUUUGUGGGGCUUUGUCUUGUGCAGGCUCCGAUUACCCCCCACCCCGGUCCCGAUUUGUCACAUUUGCUGUCUGGUCUCUGCCCGACGCCCCCGACCCGCUGGGUCUCUUUAAGCCGACGCCUUUCUCCUCCCUUCGCCAGGUCGGGCCGGGGCGGCGAGUGCCCCGCGGGGACGGGGACGGGGUUUCUCCCAAGGGCAGUGCCCGUCGCUGGGCAGGUGGAGACGGCUGGGGCGGGCAAAGUGCCCGGGGGCAGCAUGGUGCUGGUGUCCCAUCUCCCUUGGCACAGGCAGAACCAUCAGGAGGCUCCACUGGCUGGGGUGAGAGCGGGUCAG
rnacentral:lncRNA from 1 species